CCGGCUUCUCUUCGACCCAGCUCCUCCUCCCCAUGCCUUCCUUCCUCCCGUCUUGUUCUCCAAUCGUCGACUUCCCUAUCCAGACGAGGCGCUCGGAGGUAGUACCGGGGCAAGCACCACCGGUGCGAUGUCCAGGCCGGCCCACACCGUCUGGCUGUUCCGUGCAAGACUAGAUCUGACGAUCUAGCUGCCGGAUCCACCGCAGCAGCAACGCCGGCUGCUAUCUCCUCUCCGACCCCGACCACCACACCACCUCAACUCCAGUGCGCCACCCUCUACUCUAUCCAUCCUUUCUGUCCACGGCCAGAACCAGCAAUCUUGCUGCCAGAUUGGUGGUGGCGGUUCCUCAUGGUGGCGUCGGCGGCCCUCCACAAUGUCGCCUGCUGUCUCGCUUCAGCCUCCUCCGACGACGCGCUCGGGGCUGGGUCCAGGGCUGGCCCUUGGCCAUGGCGUGCAGCCGCCUAGGGCCCAGGCGAAACAGGGGCCCAUACUGUAUGUAUAUACGUAUGAGUAGAAGAAAAAGUAAACUGAUGAAAUAGUAGCGGUAGGCUCAACCUAUUACGGUGUGAGGAACCAGUCACGUAUGAAAGUGAGAACAGCUGAAUAGCCAGCCUAAUUGUUAGGUACUCUAUUCAAUAAAGUUAUUUCCGAGAUAGCACUUAUGUCUCUUGUUCAUCACCCAGUUUUCUCGUCUCCUUUCUUUGCUAAUUAAUUGAACCAAUUUCCCAAGAGGCUGGGCGCCCAAACCGAUGCUAAUUGAAUAAAAAUUUAUAUGUAUCACUACUACGUUAACCUCUUCAUUAUACAAGCAGGACCCCAGCCUUUUGUUCUUCCAUCUUAAAAGUAUACUGAGGAGACUAAUGAAGUGGCACAUUCGGCGAUUGGCCGGUGAGGCGUUGACAACAGCCCACAUCCACAGCGUGUAGCGGUGCUUGCGAAGACCCGCGUGUUCGUCAGGCCCACUAAACCUAACUUGCACUAGGGCCUCCGAAAUGUUAGGGCCGGCCUGGCUGGGUCUAGUAGGGCACCCCACGGUCAGCGCACUCAUCGUCAGCAUCGACCUCACGCCUGUCUUCCCCAUCCAUAGCGCACGUCUCCUCAAGGAGGACAACACCGACACCGCAUGUGGUGACCGCAGGCACGACAACAGAUGUCCACUUCUACUUCAUCUCUGGCUCCGCUGCUUAGGAUUAUUUCCUGCCUUUACCAGAGCGAGAAUGGCAUCAUCGACUUCUACCUCCUCCAUCUCAAGGACAAAUCUCAUGCAACCCAUGGUGCUGCAUUUGAAGCGAUCAUUUGUAAUUUGGUAGUGACUUAUGUGUAUAAUGUAUGAGUUGGAUUAUUUUUCAUUGUA